UACGUAGGUGGCGAGCGUUGUCCGGAUUUACUGGGCGUAAAGGGAGCGUAGGCGGGCUUUUAGGUGAGAUGUGAAAUACUCGGGCUCAACUUGAGUGCUGCAUUUCAAACUGGAAGUCUAGAGUGCAGGAGAGGAGAAUGGAAUUCCUAGUGUAGCGGUGAAAUGCGUAGAGAUUAGGAAGAACACCAGUGGCGAAGGCGAUUCUCUGGACUGUAACUGACGCUGAGGCUCGAAAGCGUGGGGAGCAAACAGG
rnacentral:rRNA from 1 species